rnacentral:lncRNA from 1 species
GCAAUCCUUAACUUCGUCUCUGACCCUUGUCAGGAGCAUCCCAAUGCAAUAUCAUGCACGGUAUUCCUUCGCAUGCACUUUCGCUGUACACGACACCCACUACAUUCCCUAAGUUGAUAUUUUAGCACCUGAAACGUAAUCCGCAGACGGCAGGUCGUUUCGUGAUGACAACCCAGCAUAGAAUCCUGGCACGGAUCGGUAACUACGACUGGCACGGAGACUCAAAUUUGUUCCUGUUUCAUUGUACUAUGAGUCGUCGUGAUGGGACGAGUAAGACUGCGAAACAAUGGCAAGCAAAUUAGCAAAUCAGUUCUGAUAAACCGCUCAGUUUCCUUUCAGUUAACUUGGUUCAACGAUCGACACUACGAUGUGAAGACGAAUCGCAUUCCUGCGUAACCAGCCCUCUUGAUGCUAAAGCACUCUGUUACUACAAAAAUUGAUUUUACUCAUGAUUGCGUUUAUGAGCGAGGACCAACAUCAAGGUCAUUACCCGUUGUUGAAUGUGGUCUGGGAUUCUGAACUUGCCUACAAGUACUGUAGUUCAGAAUUGCAUAGAGGAAGCGCAGCAGCUCAUUCUUCUUUACUUGCACAAACCCUAGAACUCCAAACUAUGGAGCUGCCUCAAUUUCUGUAAAAUCUGGGGGGUGGGGGGUGGAAACUGGAAUGUGCGCACGUCUUCUUGCACAGCUUCUAGAAGCUUGCCCAGGGAGCCAAAUUUCGUGCACGCCGCGCUUUGUGCAUGUACGAGGGAGCUGGUUAAACACACUCUAUCGAUCCUGCCCCGCCGCGUGUCGCGAUCGUUGUUUAUGCAUCGUGAUUGAGGAUGCAGGGUCCCCUCGCGAUCCAAUUCUCCUGCAAGUGCCUCGAAGCGAAAUCCUACAUGCACAGUUUCUAAGAGGCUGUUCUGUUCGCAAUCCAGAGACUCCUUCCUGGUUACAUCCAAAGUAC